CCUAGUGACCCAGUGAGUCGACUUACAGAGCUGGUGAAAGCAUUUUUUCUUUGCUGAUCUGUAGCCCAAGGAUUCAAAAAUCCUUCAUCGCCUCAUCACAAACGUCUUUCCUUAUCUGUUGCUGAAGAACCUGCAGUAGAUGGACUCCCUGUCUUGCUGAUUUCCCAGAAAAGGUACAAAAUCUUCCCCCAUCUUGCUCUCCUGUAUGUCACACUAACAGAGAGAAAAGAAGAAAAAAAACCAGAGAAAUGGGGGAUAAAAAGGCCUUCACUAAACUAAGGACUUCGGAGAAGAACUCCCAAAGAAACCUUUGAUGGGGAAUUCCCUGAGGAGAAAACCUCUUUGGAAGAAGCCCCCCCCCCAGGGCCUGCUUGCUUCAGAGCUUCCUGGCUUCCUCCCAUCCCCCACGGUGACCAGACAAGUUCCUGAGAAAAACCGACCUGCUACAAAUCUCACUGAACCCAUGGUGGUGACUAUCUCUCUCUUGCUUUCUAUGAAGACUCCUUACUUUUUAUUUCCUAUCUCUUUUCUAUUGCCCAUCUUCUCUUUCCCAAAUCCCUAAGCAACUAGGAUUUGUAAUAAACUGGUAGGGCUAACAUUGACCCCUUGUGUCUUAAUCUCAUGCUGAGAAUACAUUUAUCAAAGAACCUCCUCUCCCUCCUGUAAAUUGGAGCAAGACAGGUCUCUCCUGUAUACAUGAUCCUUCAUUCUUUGUUACCAUCUUAAUCAAUCAUAUCAUCACAUGACUGUUGGCUAACACCUCCCUCCUCUGUCACUCUUAGUUCAAAAAUCUCCUCACAAGGGUGUCAGGCCAGAAGAUGAAGAUGCUUCUUCCACACAGCCAAAUGGAUCUCACUUCUUCCUAACAAGCUGUGAUCUGCAAAGAGGAUUUCAUGUGAGCAAAAUCUGAAUUUCUGCUUGACGUGUGGAAUCAAACUCUAUAACUCGGAUAGGUUAUAAAGCAGAUAUAUUUAUUCGGCUGGCUGGGUGCAAGAGUGAUCACUCCACCAAACUUGCACACCAGCAAGCAAAAAGCACUACAAAAUUAUAAGCCAAAUCCAUACAUAUUCAGCAUAAUUCUUGGAACCCAUCUACAUAUUCAUUAUCCUUCUGGAAAGUCAUUUACAUAUUGCCCCUCCCCUGGCGCAUGCAUUGUGGGGAUGAAGUCAGAAGUCUUCCUCGUGAAGGCCCGACAUAUUCCUUGGUCUGACCUUCUUAUGGUGCAUUCAAACCGGUCAAAGCCGUUCAUUUUGUAUUGUUCCUUUCUUUGUGUUUGCACAGCUGACCAUGAAAUGUUGAGAUGUCAUUCUCCUUCCCUAGUUUCUAAAGCUAGCUUAUUUAACCCCUGUAUGUUCAACCUCUAGACCCACCUGAACUCUUGCUCUCAUGCUGUUAGCUGUCUUAGUUUCUGUCUUCCAUCCUCACUCCCAGUGCAGUCACACCACACAGUACACUCAGUAUAGUCUCGCAAUUUCUUGUAGUAUCAUUGGUGCUAAUCUGGAAGAGAAGCAUGGGGUGAUGAUGUGAGAUCUAGACAUUCCUUGUUAGCCUCUCUACAGUGUACCAGAUCCAAGCAUCUGGCAAAAAGCAAAUCUCCCAGGGUAGCAAGCCAGAUGAGCAGACAGUGAGUGACCUUUGUUCCCUACAGUAGGAGGUCUCCCAUUAUUCACACCUUCCUCCUUAUGCUGCUGUGUUAUUCAAGCUUAGCUAACUCAGAGACUGAGAUGGAUACAACAUCUUAUCUGCUACCAGGUCACUGAUCCUAUUCACUAGUUGCAGAUUUACUGAUAGAGCAAGGGUUGUCUGUCUGGUGCCAGAAAUCAUGAGCUUUCAGCAUUUGCCAUCCUGUGAGUCUGCAAUUCCCAAUUCAGUAAGCACGGGCUCUGCUUGCUCCGCUUUCAGUGCAGAUGGGAUCUCGGGCUGGCUGUUGUAUCCUAUAGGUUCUCAGAGAAGAUACAGGCAAUCUCUUUCUCACCAUCACUGACUCAGUUCAGUCUGUUGGUCUUCCACAGCUCCCAUACUUGAUGGCACAGACUCUUUCCAGUAUUCAUGUCCUGCAGGCAAGGAGACCAGCAUUUUUGACCCCAGAAUCAGCUAGAGACUGCAAACAUCCAUGAAGCCAUGGUAGUUAUUGCAGUGGAUGCUGGGGACUGUGGUAUGUCACCAGUCCUACUGAGGAGAUAUACGCUGUCCACAGUAGUUUCCUGUUUCCUCCUGCACAAACUGCUGUCCCUAUGAAAUACAUACUAGGCAUGGAUUUCGUGACAGGACCUCCCUAGAACUUGCAAUGAUAUUGGCAUUCUCUAAUCAGAAGUCAGUUGGAAUAAAUGCUCAACAUACGCUUUCAUCAAGUUUCUGAAGAAAUUGCAGAAACUGGAGAAAUCUUUGAUGAAGGGUCUGAAAUUAAUAUCCCAAACAGCAACAACAGUCACAUACUUACAGUUCAAAAUGGAUUAAAAUGCAACAACAUGGUGUGAGAGUACUUGUGAUAUCCACCCAUGAUAGGCUAAUAGAAAUAUGAAAGAGAGAAAAAUACAGCACUGGUCAUUAAGAAUUUUUACUGCUCCAGCAGGGCCAACAGCACUGAUUUAGCAUUGCUAAUCAAAAGUAGACAGGACAUGGUGUAAAACCACUAAUAUUUACAAUGCUUUUCACUUUUGUUUUGCUUUCAAAAUCUGUCUUUUUAUUUUCUAUCAUUUACUGUCUUACAUGAUAGUAACCUUCAAGAAAUCAUUUCUAAAAACUAGGAAGAUUUUGAAUCUUGUUAAGUAAUGCUAAUUUGGUGUUCUCACUUACACUAAAGCUUUGCCAGCAUUUCAAUGUUUGUAGAGCAAAUGAAUAAUUUCUAAACAGUGCCAAAGGGGCAUUGUGUUAAUUCUUUGAGAGAGAAAAGCCUGACAAUUUUAGUAUGCCUUAAGCAUGAUUGGUUUAUGAUAAGGUCUUUGUAGAAGUGCAAUAAAGAUGAUGGCUUAGUUAAAAUACUAUUAAUAUACUUGGUUAGGAAAUGAAAACUCCAGUGUUCCAUGCAUUAUAUUCAAAUGAGCAAAUCUUUCUAUUCUCCCUUUAAGAUUUUCAAUGUAUACAUGCCAAAUCUUUUAUGAUUGUUUUGUUUUUCAUAUCAGUGGGAAUGAAUGUAAAAAUACUGUUGAGAUUAAGAGUCAGUCCUCUCUGAAAGAGGAAAGGAUGAACUAAAACUAGGAUGAAGAAAUACCAUUGCAUUUGUAUUUUCAAAUGCAAAUACAAAUGUCCAUGCUUAUGCAGAAUGUGCAAAACAGUGUUCUGUAAAUGUGUUCCUGCUUUGUAAAUGGAGUCAAUAAUAUACAGAAUGAUAUAGAUUAUUAAAUAAACAGCCAGAUAUGAGUAAAUUAAAAUACUUUAUGCGGAUUUUGUGAUCCAUCACAUGUUCUUUGCCUACUAGUUUCAGCAAAAGGUGCUAGAGGCAUGAGACACUAAUAUAAGACAGGCAGUGCAUAGUUUACUUUCCAGGGACUGCUUUUGACUGCAAUAGUGUAUGCAGGUAGUAGGUGCAGAGGGAACAAAAGGAUUUAUUUGACUGUCUAGGAAAGAUGAGUUCAAUUAUCUUUUUGUGGAUCACUCAUCACAUGUGUAAAAAAUGUGUGUAAAGUAAUUUGAUCAAAGCUGAGCAGCAGCACACCAGCAUCAUCAUAACUGGAGCUUUAGAUAAAGCAGAAUGUUAUACAUCAUCUUUUUUUCUUCCCGAUAAAACCUAAUAGAAUGACAUAGCUUUAUAUCCCUGCUGAUAAGGCCUUGUAGGCAGUCUGUAUGACAUUGUGCAUUUUAAGUAUGUUGACCAUUCUAGUCUGUGCAUUAUAUAUAUUUUUACAUAUAAAAUGAAUAUGAAAAGGAUGGACAUGUUUGUCCUCA
ensembl:lncRNA